rnacentral:tRNA from 1 species
GCGGGGGUGCCCGAGCCGGUCAAACACAACAUCUAUUAUCGCGUGGAGUUGUGGGCCAGAGGGGCACGGUUGAGGACCGUGUGGCAUAGGCCUGCGCGGGUUCAAACCCCGUCCCCCGCA